AGACUCCGCUUGAUCCUGGCGGACCCAACUGCUAUCGGGAUGAGACUAAGCCAUGCGAGUCGCACGCUUCCUAGCCACGGUGGGAGCGUGGCGUACGGCUCAGUAACAUGUGGCUAACCUACCCUCAGGACUGGGACAACUUCGGGAAACUGAGGCUAAUCCCGGAUGGACGGAGAGGCCUGGAAUGGUUCUCCGUUGAAAAGGCUCUAGGGGCAUGCUCUCUAGAGUUGCCUGAGGAUGGGGCCGCAGCCGAUCAGGUUGUUGGUGAGGUAACGGCUCACCAAGCCUAUAACCGGUACGGGCCGUGAGAGCGGGAGCCCGGAGAUGGGCACUGAGAUAAGGGCCCAGGCCCUACGGGGCGCAGCAGGCGCGAAACCUUUGCAAUGCGCGAAAGCGUGACAGGGUCAUCCCGAGUGCCGUCCGCUGAGGAUGGCUUUUGCCUGGUCUAACCAGCCAGGUGAAUAAGGGGAGGGCAAGUCUGGUGUCAGCCGCCGCGGUAAUACCAGCUCCUCGAGUGGUUGGGACGAUUAUUGGGUCUAAAGCGUCCGUAGCCGGCUGGAAAAGUUCUCCGUAAAAUCCAACGAUCCAAUCGUUGGAUCGCGGGGAAUACUUUCCGGCUUGGGGGCGGGGGAGGUCGGCGGUAGUCCCGGGGUAGGGGCGAAAAAGGAAAUGAAAAGUUUCCGUUCGCAGUCUUAUAAUCCCGGGAGGACCACCAGUGGCGAAGGCGGCCGACUAAAACGCGCCCGACGGUGAGGGACGAAAGCUGGGGGAGCGAACGGGAUUAGAUACCCCGGUAGUCCCAGCUGUAAACGAUGCAGGCUAGGUGUUAGGACGGGUACGGCCCGUCCUAGUGCCGCAGGGAAGCCAUUAAGCCUGCCACCUGGGGAGUACGGCCGCAAGGCUGAAUUCUCAUAUGGCAAGAAAUCGUGCCGAUGGGACAGUUCACUUAAAGGAAUUGGCGGGGGAGCACCACAAGGGGUGAAGCUUGCGGUUUAAUUGGAGUCAACACCGGGAACCUUACCAGGGGCGACAGUUGGAUGAAGGUCAGAUUAAAGGUCUUACCGGACUAGCUGAGAGGAGGUGCAUGGCCGUCGCCAGUUCGUGCCGUGAGGUGUUCUCUUAAGUGAGAAAACGAACGAGACCCGUGCCCUUAGUUGCCAGGGCAUUCCCUCGGGAAUGCAGGCACACUAGGGGGACUGCCUCCGCUAAGGGGGAGGAAGGAGCGGGCCACGGCAGGUCAGUAUGCCCCGGAUCCCCUGGGCCACACGCGAGCUGCAAUGGCUGGGACAAUGGGCUCCGACCCCGAA
rnacentral:rRNA from 1 species